rnacentral:lncRNA from 1 species
GAUGCUGCCCAAUGCCUACCACAUGAUAGCAGCCUCUGGAAGGUGGGCCAGGAAGAUAUCAGCAUGAGACUGAUGCCCUCUGUCCUCCUCAGUAGUCCUCUUGCGCUCUGUAAGCCAGCUGGAGAUCCCAGAAUGUAUGAGAAAAUCACAAUCGCAGUGCUAUUGUCAGCUUAUAUUUUUACAUCACCUUGCAUCCUUGCAACUUCACCUGCACCUUCUUCAGCAGAAACUCCAGAAUCAUUAACAGAAGGUCCCAAUCAUACAAUGAAAGCUGGAGAAAUUGCUGUGAGUGUAAGCCCUUAUAUACUUCCAAAGACACCAGGUGUGUUUUUCUUUGUACACGGUUAAUCUGGAUGUAGAAUUAUU